rnacentral:rRNA from 1 species
UACGUAGGGUGCGAGCGUUAAUCGGAAUUACUGGGCGUAAAGUGUGCGCAGGCGGCAGAGCAAGUCGAGUGUGAAAGCCCCGGGCUUAACUUGGGAAUUGCGCUCGAAACUACUUUGCUGGAGUGUGGCAGAGGAAGGUGGAAUUCCACGUGUAGCGGUGAAAUGCGUAGAGAUGUGGAGGAACACCAAUGGCGAAGGCAGCCUUCUGGGCCAACACUGACGCUGAGGAGCGAAAGCAUGGGGAGCGAACAGG